rnacentral:rRNA from 1 species
CUUAGAUCGUACCGUCCUACUCGGAUAACUGUAGUAAUUCUAGAGCUAAUACGUGCCACGAAGCUCCGACCCCUGGUUCGCGCCUGGGGGAAGAGCGCAUUUAUUAGACCAAAACCAAUCGCCCGUCCGUCUCGGCGGCGGGCGUUUGCCCAUGGUGACUCUGGAUAAACUACGAGCCGAUCGCACGGCCCCUGCGCCGGCGACAGAUCUAUCAAAUGUCUGCCCUAUCAAGUUUCGACGGUUGUUUAGUCGACAACCGUGCUGAUAACGGGUGACGGGGAAUCAGGGUUCGAUUCCGGAGAGGGAGCAUGAGAAACGGCUACCACUUCCAAGGAAGGCAGCAGGCACGCAAAUUACCCACUCCCGGCUCGGGGAGGUAGUGACGAAAAAUAACAAUACGGGACUCUUACGAGGCCCCGUAAUUGGAAUGAGUACACUUUAAAUCCUUUAACGAGGACCCAUUGGAGGGCAAGUCUGGUGCCAGCAGCCGCGGUAAUUCCAGCUCCAAUAGCGUAUAUUAAAGUUGUUGCAGUUAAAAAGCUCGUAGUUGGAUGUGGGGAGCAGCCCGGCGGUCCGCUCGAAAGGCGGCCACUGCCGUUUGGUUUACUGCUCCUUGCUCUCUCCGGCUCGCGCGGGGUGCUCUUGACUGAGUGCCCCGAGCUGCCGGGACGUUUACUUUGAAAAAAUUAGAGUGUUCAAAGCAGGCCGUCGUCGCCUGAAUACUGGUGCAUGGAAUAAUGGAACAGGACCUCGCUUCUGGUUUUGUUGGUUUUACGAAGUCGAGGUAAUGAUUAAAAGGAACGGACGGGGGCAUUUGUAUUGCGCCGUUAGAGGUGAAAUUCUUGGAUCGGCGCAAGACAAACUAAAGCGAAGGCGUUUGCCAAGCACGUUUUCAUUAAUCAAGAGCGACAGUCAGAGGUUCGAAGACGAUCAGAUACCGUCGUAGUUCUGACCAUAAACGAUGCCAGCUAGGGACUCGCAGCGGUUGCUAACCCUGACCCUGCGAGGACCUCGUCGGAAACGAAAGCUUUCGGGUUCCGGGGGAAGUAUGGUUGCAAAGCUGAAACUUAAAGGAAUUGACGGAAGGGCACCACCAGGAGUGGAGCCUGCGGCUUAAUUUGACUCAACACGGGGAAACUCACCCGGCCCGGACACCGUAAGGAUUGACAGAUUGAGAGCUCUUUCUUGAUUCGGUGGGUGGUGGUGCAUGGCCGUUCUUAGUUGGUGGAGCGAUUUGUCUGGUUGAUUCCGAUAACGAACGAGACUCUAGCCUAUUGAAUAGUCAGCCUGCGAGUUUCUCGGCGGGCGCUUUUGACUUCUCAGAGGGACGAGCGGCGUUCAGUCGCACGAGAAUGAGCAAUAACAGGUCUGUGAUGCCCUUAGAUGUCCGGGGCCGCACGCGCGCUACACUGAAGGUAUCAGCGUGCGCUCACCCUCUCAGAAAUGAGCGGGCAACCCGUUGAACCACCUUCGUGCUAGGGAUUGGGGAUUGCAAUUGUUCCCCAUGAACGAGGAAUUCCCAGUAAGCGCGAGUCAUCAGCUCGCGUUGAUUACGUCCCUGCCCUUUGUACACACCGCCCGUCGCUACUACCGAUCGGAUGGUUUAGUGAGACCCUCGGACUGGUCCCGACGGGGCGGUUCUCCGUCCUGUCGCGGUCGCCGGGAAGACGGUCGAACUUGACUAUCUAGAGGAAGUA